rfam:Macrostomum lignano uti_cns_0009982, whole genome shotgun sequence.
GGUCUGGUGGUGUAGUGGUUAUCACAUCUGUCUCACACACAGAAGGUCCCCGGUUCGAGCCCGGGCCAGACCA